GACGAACGCUGGCGGCGUGCUUAACACAUGCAAGUCGAACGAAGUGGCGAACGGGUGAGUAACGCGUAAUCAACCUGCCCUUCAGAGGGGGACAACAGUUGGAAACGACUGCUAAUACCGCAUACUGAAGGAGGGGCUUGCGUCUGAUUAGCUAGUUGGGGGGGUAACGGCCCACCAAGGCGAUGACCAGUAGCCGGUGCGAGUGGAUGGACGGCGAAAUUGGGACUGAGGCACGGCCCAGACUCCUACGGGAGGCAGCAGUGGGGAAUCUUCCGCAAUGGACGAAAGGCUGGCGGGGCAACGCCGCGUGAGUGAUGACGGCCUUCGGGUUGGAAAGCUCUGUUAAUCGGGACGCGGUACCGAAAUAGAAAGCCACGGCUAACUACGUGCCAGCAGCCGCGGUAAUUC
rnacentral:rRNA from 1 species